GUAGGGAGCGAGCGUUAUCCGGAUUCAUUGGGCGUAAAGAGCGCGUAGGCGGCCUCUCAAGCGGGAUCUCUAAUCCGAGGGCUCAACCCCCGGCCGGAUCCCGAACUGGGAGGCUCGAGUUCGGUAGAGGCAGGCGGAAUUCCCGGUGUAGCGGUGGAAUGCGCAGAUAUCGGGAAGAACACCGAUGGCGAAGGCAGCCUGCUGGGCCGCAACUGACGCUGAGGCGCGAAAGCUAGGGGAGCGAACAGGAUUAGAUACCCUGGUAGUCCUAGCCGUAAACGAUGGAUACUAGGUGUGGGGGGCUCCGCCCUCCGUGCCGCAGCCAACGCAUUAAGUAUCCCGCCUGGGGAGUACGGCCGCAAGGCUAAAACUCAAAGGAAUUGACGG
rnacentral:rRNA from 1 species